CUGUUUUUCCUCCUAAUCGCGUGAGCCGUGUGAUCAUCUUUCAUUUUCGUCUUCCUCCGCCUACCCGAUUCAAUUGAACCCUCCCCACGCUCACUAAGCACCUAUGCUUCCUAUAUAUGGAACAAAGAUGUUAAGGCAUCAGAUAGUCUUAUCACGGCGCCUGCAUCUUUCACAGAUGGAAAGUUCCCAGCGGAGAGUGAGUGGGAUGCUCCAUCGUCAUCAUCCAAUUUUGUUGCUUUCAAUUAACUACAUGAAUUCUUCCAUUGGUUUAUACCUUAUCGGUUAUCUUUCUCCAUUAAUUUUGUUGUUGAGGUUUAUUUUGGUUUAAUUUUUGGCAGCCUUUGAAGCCGGGAAUCUGAAAUCGAGAAAUGUCAUCGAUCGAGGAGUAGCUUGAGCACACUCUCCUCGUGUUGCAGGAGCUGUCAGUUUUUAAGAUCCCACCACAGAGCACAAGUGGUGGGUACAAGAGCGUUGAAUGGCUGCAAUCGGAUAAGAUCUGGUCUGGUCGUCUUGGCGUCAUGUCCUGUGGCGAUCGCUGCGGAACCUGACUCAGAAGGGCUCUUUGCUGUCUAUUUCGUCCUACCGGGUUGGCGGGAGAUCUCUGUCGAGACAGUGCUUGAUUCCUCCGGUUAUUUCGUGCUUAGGAUCGAGGAUGGACGGGGUGAACACGCAUUCAUUAGGAGAAUGGAUCUGAGGAAGGGCAUAAGAAGGAGAACACAAAAAAUGAUAAUCUGCAGCUCUUCUUGUCUCUGUCAUCGCCGCCAGAGAGGAUUAAUCUCGAUCUCUCAAUGGCAAUUCUAGGAAGCUGAUUAACUUCUAAUCAUUUUUAUCAUUAGUGAUUAAUUAUGUGUAUAGAUACAUCCAAUGAGGGACAAGUACU